UUUAUGGAGAGUUUGAUCCUGGCUCAGGAUGAACGCUGGCGGCGUGCCUAAUACAUGCAAGUCGAGCGAACGGACGAGAAGCUUGCUUCUCUGAUGUUAGCGGCGGACGGGUGAGUAACACGUGGAUAACCUACCUAUAAGACUGGGAUAACUUCGGGAAACCGGAGCUAAUACCGGAUGAUAUUUUGAACCGCAUGGUUCAAAAGUGAAAGACGGUCUUGCUGUCACUUAUAGAUGGAUCCGCGCUGCAUUAGCUAGUUGGUAAGGUAACGGCUUACCAAGGCAACGAUGCAUAGCCGACCUGAGAGGGUGAUCGGCCACACUGGAACUGAGACACGGUCCAGACUCCUACGGGAGGCAGCAGUAGGGAAUCUUCCGCAAUGGGCGAAAGCCUGACGGAGCAACGCCGCGUGAGUGAUGAAGGUCUUCGGAUCGUAAAACUCUGUUAUUAGGGAAGAACAUAUGUGUAAGUAACUGUGCACAUCUUGACGGUACCUAAUCAGAAAGCCACGGCUAACUACGUGCCAGCAGCCGCGGUAAUACGUAGGUGGCAAGCGUUAUCCGGAAUUAUUGGGCGUAAAGCGCGCGUAGGCGGUUUUUUAAGUCUGAUGUGAAAGCCCACGGCUCAACCGUGGAGGGUCAUUGGAAACUGGAAAACUUGAGUGCAGAAGAGGAAAGUGGAAUUCCAUGUGUAGCGGUGAAAUGCGCAGAGAUAUGGAGGAACACCAGUGGCGAAGGCGACUUUCUGGUCUGUAACUGACGCUGAUGUGCGAAAGCGUGGGGAUCAAACAGGAUUAGAUACCCUGGUAGUCCACGCCGUAAACGA
rnacentral:rRNA from 1 species